AGCAGCGUUAUUUUCUCACGAGAAAAGCUUUGAUCUUUUCUAAGCAUGUCCAUAUUAUCAAAUAUGAUUUAUCAAAACCUGUAGAGAGGAAAAUGAUCAGUUUCUCAUAGCGACCAAUCAGAUCACUUCUUUCACUUUCCAGAGGUUGAUAAAAAUUAAGGAAGCAAUCUGAUUGGUUGCUAUGGGCAACUGGUCAACUUUCCCUCUCCACAGGCUUUGAUAAAUCUCCCCCUUUAUCCACAGCCACCCCUCUGUCUAGGCUUCUGCUCACAUCUUCAUAAAAGCAAAUAAGUACUUUGGAACCUGUAUGCCAAUCUUCAGAGCAGUUCUGCCAAUUUAUUUAUGAACUAAGAAGUCUCAUCCUAGAUGUCUCACCUGAAACAUGUGAUGGACUGCAGACCAAAAAAAUAUAACGAAAAAUUUAAGAAAAACUGUGGUGCAUUGAAGAUGUUUUUUUUUUGGUUUCCCAAUUAGCUUGGGGGGAAAAAAUACCACAAACUAAGAGUCCCCAAAUAUUGUGCAAAGCAACAGUGGAGACAUUUGUCAAAAACCUGAAUGAUGCACAAAUCCAUCUGUGAGGGAAGUGAAGCGUUCAUCUGCUACUAUUCCCCCUUAUGGCACAGAACAGUCCUGGGGACAUUUAAUCAGACACCAAGUAUUAGGAAUCAGUCUUCUACGAUGCACGCUCUGCCAUCAAUCCUCUCUGAUUGGAGGUAAUUUGCAGUAUGCCUGACCGGACCCUUCAGCGGCUGCGGUAUUAGGUCUGUAGGGGGCUGAAAAGUUUAAUUACAACCCUGUGUCUGCCUUCUAAUGUCUUCAAUCAUCAGAGCAGUAAGGGGAUCCGCAGAGUGAGCCGUAAUGAGAAAUGCCAGAAACCUUCCCGUCUUUCCGACAGCUUAACCCUCCAGCAACAGGAUACCUAUCCCCCCGACAAUGAACAGGAUAACAAACCAGCAGAAGUAAUAAGUGCUGUGCAAGAAAUAAGGGGUUAAUCUUCUCACCACAAAUCAUCAGUGCAGCAUUUUUCUUAAUAUGAACCACACAUGAUGAACACCUAUGACCUAGAACAUGACAGGUAUCACAUCACAUCUGACCCUCUCUCAGUUCCUGCCCAAUAGAUUGGUCUCCCCCAACUUCCCCUUCCAUUAAAACACCAUUUUCCAAAAACAGAAAACAUGUUUUCUUCUCGGUAACUUAUUCUUUUCAAAAAUUCUCUGAAUGACUUAUUUCAGGUUUAGUCAAUACCCUCAUGUUCUAGCUCUGUCAACUCUUGAAAGACUCCCCAGAUC